AUUGAACGCUGGCGGCAGGCCUAACACAUGCAAGUCGAGCGGAUGAAGGGAGCUUGCUCCUGGAUUCAGCGGCGGACGGGCGAGUAAGGCCUAGGAAUCUGCCUGGUAGUGGGGGAUAACGUCCGGAAACGGGCGCUAAUACCGCAUACGUCCUGAUGGAGAAAGUGGGGGAUCUUCGGACCUCACGCUAUCAGAUGAGCCUAGGUCGGAUUAGCUAGUUGGUGGGGUAAAGGCCUACCAAGGCGACGAUCCGUAACUGGUCUGAGAGGAUGAUCAGUCACACUGGAACUGAGACACGGUCCAGACUCCUACGGGAGGCAGCAGUGGGGAAUAUUGGACAAUGGGCGAAAGCCUGAUCCAGCCAUGCCGCGUGUGUGAAGAAGGUCUUCGGAUUGUAAAGCACUUUAAGUUGGGAGGAAGGGCAGUAAGUUAAUACCUUGCUGUUUUGACGUUACCAACAGAAUAAGCACCGGCUAACUUCGUG
rnacentral:rRNA from 1 species